GAUGAACGCUGGCGGCGCGCCUAACACAUGCAAGUCGAACGAUUAAAGCACCUUCGGGUGUGUAUAAUGUGGCGAACUGCUGAGUUACACGUGUGCAACCUGCCCCUUUCAUUGGGAUAUCCACGGUAAACCUUGGAUAAUACCUAAUACUUCGCAACUUCCUCAUGGACGCCUCGAGAACGCUCCGGCGGCGAGGGAUGGGCCCGCGGCCUGUUAGCUUGUUGCUGGGGUAACGGCCUACCAAGGCAAUGGUGGGUAGCUGGGUUGAGAGACCGACCAGCCAGGUUGGGCCUGAGACACGGCACGGACUCCUACGGGAGGCAGCAGUGGGGGAACUUGCAAAAGGGGAGGAAGCCUGAUGCAGCGACGCGGCGUGCCGGAUGAAGGCCUUCGGGUUGUAAACCGCUUUCAGCAGGGACGCGGCGAAAGUGACGGUACCUGCAGAAGAAGCCCCGGCUAACUACGUG
rnacentral:rRNA from 1 species